CCAAUAGCGUAUAUUAAAGUUGUUGCAGUUAAAAAGCUCGUAGUUGAAUUUCGGAACCGAUAGAUCGGUCAUGCCAUUCGGUGUGUACUGGUUUAAUUGGUUCUCACCUUCUAAGGAACCGUGAUGUCAUUAAUUUGGUGUCGCGGCAAAUUAGGACUGUUACCUUGAAAAAAUUAGAGUGUUUAAAGCAAGCUCACGCUUGAAUACAUUAGCAUGGAAU
rnacentral:rRNA from 1 species